CACCAGCUCGCCUUGUACGAACCUAUGAUACUGGCCAAAAGGUCGUAUUUGCAUGGGCGGCAUCAUUGAGGGCGUCCACCAUUUUAAUGUAGUCAACUGGGUGGUACUUCCAACUUCAUUGGCUAGCAUGUUCUCGCCUGCCUUCAGCCCUUGUGGACAUGUAUGUCACGUGUGCCAAUGGUUCUUUUUUAGUCCUUUUUCCUUUACCCGCAAGUGUUUUAUUUUGAAUCGAUUUACUUACUUAGAAGUGCUUUAAUAUCUAUUUAUUCCUCUGCUCUGUUUUAGUUUACAUCUUAUUUCUUAUUUAAGUGACUUCCUUUCCUUUGAAUUGGGUAACCGCUUUUGAGUGUUUGUCUCCUUGUGUGAAUGAGGGAAUGAGUGUGUUCAUUAGGGACCUGAGAGAGGCCAGGUGCCGUAGGCUAUGCUCAGCCACACCACUACCCCCACACCUGAGGCGUUUUUGGGGAUAAUGAGCUGCCCCUGCACCAAGGCAGCUCUCAGUCAGACAUGUUCAGCAGAUUCAAGCAACGGGAGAGGCCAGGUGCCGUAGGCUAUGCUCAGCCACACCACUGCCGCCGUGUCUGGGGAGAGGAGACCGGAUGAGUGUGAUGAGCUGACCGGAAACAACCCUAUUUGGGGUGAAGAGCCGAACAAAGUUUUAGUGUGUACCGACGGUUUCCAAUAUGAUGACCUUACUGAUGAUGCUUUCUCCAGAUGUGGUCUGCGACGACGAGACUGCAGAGGCCUUGUCAACAGCAUCGGAACCCCGUGAUGCCGGCAACGAAUGUUCCAUGCCAAACAACUAUGGCCUCUAGCGUAUCGGCUACAUCAAGAUGAAGUGUCCUGGCUGUGGUCACCAAGUGGAAAAAUCGUCAAAAUUUUGCAGUGAAUGCGGAUUGAGGUUAGCUGCUCAAAUUUGCACCACAGGGCCACUAUCACAGCACCGGGGAUGCCUCAGCUGGCUCGUCAGACUUCCCGUACCUCAGCUGGCUCGUCAGACUUCCCGUACCUCAGCUGGCUCGUCAGACUUCCCGUACCUCAGCUGGCUCGUCAGACUUCCCGUACCUCAGCUGGCUCGUCAGACUCCCCGUACCUCAGCUGGCUCGUCAGACUCCCCGUACCUCAGCUGGCUCGUCAGGCUUCCCGUACCUCAGCUGGCUCGUCAGGCUUCCCGUACCUCAGCUGGCUCGUCAGGCUUCCCGUACCUCAGCUGGCUCGUCAGGCUUCCCGUACCUCAGCAGGCUCCCGCGCCUCAGCCGGCUCGUCAGGUUCUCAGGCCUUGGUUGGCUCGUCAGGCUUCCAUUGUCGAAGCUACCGGGAAUUCCUCAGCAGGCUCCCGCGCCUCAGCCGACUCAACAGGCUCCCGCGCCUCUGCCGGCUCGAGGCGACCUGCCUGGUCCUCAGGACUGUUCCUCUGGUCGGCGCCCUGCGGCUGGAGACGUGCGUCAGAGAGGGGGUACUGUCACGUCUACUCCCGCUCCCCCUCUCCGCCGGUCGACGUCACCAGUUUAAUCAUUAUUACGCACACCUGCCACCAUCGUUACACACACCUGCGCCACAUGAGACUCACCUGGACUCUAAUCACUUCUAUGAUUACCUCUCCUAUAUCUGUCGCUCCUUUUGGUUCUUUCCCCAGGCAGUAUUAGUUCAGUUUUAUGUUUCAUGUUUAUACUCUACUCGUGUUUUGUUAUAUUGUUCGAUGUUCCCUUUAUUAAACUCACCAUCUGCACUCGCUUUCCGACUCCCAGUGUAUACGUUACACCGACAUGAGCCUUUUAUACCUCCCAUGUGCAUGCCGGCACCACCUUUGACGAGUGUGCGAUGUGGAUGG
rnacentral:lncRNA from 1 species